AAAGUACUGGAACACUCGCCAGUUGAGCGUACACCUGAGCCGAUAAUCUUACUUCUAGGGUGAUGACUUUUUGUUGUGGUGUGUAUGCCCGCAUCGUUUGAUGUAUCGGGAAACCUUAAACAACAUUGAUUUACCCGCCUUGAACCUCAUGGUUCAUGGUCAAUCCUUGACAGCGGUGUUUCGGUUUUAUU
rnacentral:other from 1 species